AUUUUAUUUUCUCAAAAAACUGAUGUUCAAUUUAAAUGUCCUAAAUUUCCCUUUUUUCAUUCAAAUGAAACAAUUAGUUAUCCUCUAUUUUUUUUCCUUUUUUUUUCUUUUUCUAUAUUUUUGGUGUCCCCCAUAUGUUGCCUUAUAUAAUAACUAGUCUUACAUGCACGCAAUGCGUGCGAACGCGUGAUAACAAAUAAAGUAGAAAAAAUAAAAUUAGUUGGAUAGAAAAACUAUCUUUACAUUUUAUUUUCUCAAAAAAAUGAUGUUGAGUUUAAAUAUCCUACUUUCCCUCCUUUUUUCGUUCAAAUGAAACGGUUAGUAAUCCUCUUUUUUUCUUUUCUUUUUUUCCUUUUUUUAAUUUUUUGGUGUCCCCCAUGUGUUGCCUUAUAUAAUAGAGAUUUUCUAAAAGCUAUUUACAAAAUCGAUGUUCAACAGUUCAAGUUGUCUGAGUUUUGUUAUUUCUGCAGAUUUGAUUCCAAAUUUAAUCUAAACUGUCAGAUGUUAUUGGUGUAGUAAUGCAGAUGAGGUAUUUGGGACGUAAGACUUGAAAGCAGCCAAGCAGGGCAAAUGUAAGGGUACCCAAUUACCCAUACUUUCAAAUACCUCACUUGAAAAGAUUUGCGCCUAAAUAUCCAGGAUCUAAGAUAAGAUCCUCUCCAAGUGAGCCAACUUUUGUUUGGUUUCAAGUCCUUUUUUUAAUUGCUCGUGAUAAAGUGAUGAUGCUCGUAUUAGGAAGGAGUUUGUGUGUGUGUGUGUGUGGUGGGGGGGGAGUCUCCCCAUAUACAUAUUUUUGUUUUGGCUAUUUGGUUGAUUAGGUAAUUCCAAAGAUAUUAAAAUUAUCCUUUUUUAAUGAGAUACUACAUCCGUUUCCGAAAGAUCUUUCUUGUUACUAUUACUACAGAUACCAAUGAGAAUUAAUUUGUAUGGGGUGUGGGGUGGGUAAAGUAUGAGAGAGAAAGGGUUAAGAUAAAUAAACAAAUAAAAAGAUGUUAAAGUAGGAGAGAGAAAGGGAGUAAAAUUGAAUUAAUAAUGUCAUGAUGGACCAUAUGAUAGGGACAUGAGAGGGUAAAUAGGGGAAAAAAAUUCUAAAUAAGAAAUAAAGUAAAAGAAGGAAGAUCUUUUGGAAACGCACUUAAACGGAAUGAGGGAACAUCUUUAGGAUACGGAGGGAGUAGUAUAUUUUAUAAAUUUUCUUACCAAAAUAUAUCUCAUAACAUAAAACAUUAUGUCAAAGACUCCUUAAUGGCAUAUAUCGACUAAAAAGUCAAUUUUUUGCCAUAGAAACCCUAUACUUCCUUUCUCCCGCUUUUCGGCCACAAAAUUUGCUCAAACAUAGUACCUCCUCUUCUUUCUCACAUUUUGUUCUCAUUUUCUUUUGUAUGUUUCUCUCUUUUUAAUUUGAUUUUUCCAUUUGGUAAUUGAAUAAAAGUAUUUGAAAAACCUUCAUUUGAAGUUUGUUAAUACUUGAUAAUUUUUCAUACUUAGUUAGUGUGCAAGCUAUUCCUUAAUUAUAAAUUUAAAUUGAAUUGUCAAUUUAAGUCAAAUUUUGCAAUUAAUUGCCAAAAUUUGACUUUGUUGUUGGCCAUAGCAUCGAGGUACCUUUUCAAAAAGAUAUUAUUUUAUGAGAUAUUUUUGUUAAGAAAUUUGUUAAAGGUAGAAUCUUAAAAAACAACACAAACUUUUAUAUGAGGUUGGCCACACCUUGAAUAAAUGGUGUGGCCACCUAAUAUAAAAGCCCGAUAUAACCGACCCCAAUGCAAGCAAUCCGUUUUUUGAGCCCAUUUCUCUUUGCGCGAUGCCAGUUUAGCCCAUUUCUCUCUCUCUCUCUUUCUUUCUCUCUCUCUUUUUCUUCUCUGCCAAGUUGAGCCCAUUUCUCUCUCCAGUCCGUUUUUUCUUCUUUCUUUUUCUGGCAGUUCGUAACCUCCAUCAUCAAGGGUUUGGUUUUCAUUUUCGUUCUUGAGUUUUAUGUUGUUCGAAUUGUUUGCGGAAUUAUGGCUAGAGUAAAGACUACAUCUCGUCGUCGUCGGAGUGAUGGUGGUCGCAGCGUUUAUGGUCCGAGUGAUGGUGGUCGUGGUUGAAAAGGUAAUUUUGCGUUUUUCAAUUUUUUUUUUCAUUGUUUUUAUUGCGGAAUUAUGGUUAUUUUGUUUGAUUAUGAUUGUUUUUUCUUUUUUUUUUUCUAUUUUAUAAGUUUUUGAGUUUCAAUUUAUAGUUGAUUGUUGGUGGACUUGCAGGUUUAGUUGAAUUUUAGUUGAUUCUUUUGGUUUUGAGUUAAAUUGAUGAUAGUUAUUCUUUUUGUUUUGGCUAAUUUAUUUGUAACCUUUGUUUGAUUUGUUAGUUACCCUAGGUUUGAAGUAUAUGUUGGAAGCAGAACCAACUCCUACAAAUAUAGAAGAGUUCUCCUCCGGGCUUUUGCAUGGGACUGUUCCAAUGUUCUUUAAGUCAAAGGGUAUACCAGAUAAUGAUAACACUACUGUCCAGAUUGCCGUGGGGAAGACAUUUAAUUUGAUGACCUGGUCCUCAGCAACUCCAAGAAUGUUUUUCUUGAGGUCUACACACCAUGGUGCAUGACUUGUGAUGCUGUGAGCAAGCAAGCAAGUAGAAAAAUUGGCGAAAUAUUUCAGAGGGUUAGAAAAUCUAAGCUUUGCAAGGAUAGAUGCUUCUGCAAAUGAGCAUCCCAAACUUCAGGUCACAGACUACCUGACACUACUGUUUUAUCUAGCAGCGGAUAAAUCAAAUCCAAUUGCAUUGCCUGCAAAGUCCAGUUUGAAGUAUUUGGGAGCGUUCAUCAAGAAAAAUGUUAAAGCUGAAGAACAUGCAUAUAAAGAUGAAUUGUAGAAUGCAGAAUCCUUCUUUCGUUAAAUAGUAUACUAGUGUUUACAUUGCCAAAUAUCUUAACUUCAGCAAAAUCACUAGUAUAAGAAGAGGUUUAGAAAACAUUUGUGUAGAUUCCAAGAAGAUUAACUUUAUGAAAACAAUUUUAUAAUAGAAACCACAGUAAUUUUAGACUGAUUUUUUAUGAGGGAAGAAGAUGUUGGUUCCUGAUCCAAUGGAAUGGUCCAUCUUUCCUUACAUUUGUAAGUGUGAACUACUCAUAGGAAUUGAUGUGAGGCCCAUAUCAAGUAAACUUACCAAAUUACCCGUGCAUGUUUACUGAUGU